GUCGUAACAAGGUCUCCGUUGGUGAACCAGCGGAGGGAUCAUUACUGAGUUUACGCUCUACAACCCUUUGUGAACAUACCUAUAACUGUUGCUUCGGCGGGUAGGGUCUCCGUGACCCUCCCGGCCUCCCGCCCCCGGGCGGGUCGGCGCCCGCCGGAGGAUAACCAAACUCUGAUUUAACGACGUUUCUUCUGAGUGGUACAAGCAAAUAAUCAAAACUUUUAACAACGGAUCUCUUGGUUCUGGCAUCGAUGAAGAACGCAGCGAAAUGCGAUAAGUAAUGUGAAUUGCAGAAUUCAGUGAAUCAUCGAAUCUUUGAACGCACAUUGCGCCCGCCAGCAUUCUGGCGGGCAUGCCUGUUCGAGCGUCAUUUCAACCCUCAAGCUUUGCUUGGUGUUGGGGCCCUACAGCUGAUGUAGGCCCUCAAAGGUAGUGGCGGACCCUCCCGGAGCCUCCUUUGCGUAGUAACUUUACGUCUCGCACUGGGAUCCGGAGGGACUCUUGCCGUAAAACCCCCCAAUUUUCCAAAGGUUGACCUCGGAUCAGGUAGGAAUACCCGCUGAACUUAAGCAUAUCAAUAAG
rnacentral:rRNA from 1 species